UUAAAAACGUUAAUUGCAUUACUUGAUCAACGAGUGAACUGUAUACGUAUCGAUGAAUAAGUGUAAAUAAGAAAGGAUAAAUGAUUUUAACAUACAGUACGAAAGCAACUAGAUAGUUAAUCUUCAUUCUUUUUUUUUAUUCGAGAACCGAACUUCCAUAAAGAUCAUUGCAAUGGCGGAAUUGCCAUCAACCAUUUAUAAAGCGGGAUCAUAAAACUUUGAGCGACGGUAUUCAAUCAUCGAAACUUCUCAAAAGGUUGAACUAA